UCUAAAUUACUUACCUAGUUUGAAAAAAAAAUACUUUUCUUGCGUGCUCUUGAUAUCAACAACGUACACGCUGUAUUUUAGUUGAUCUGAAAUGCAAUAAAUGCUUGUUGUUCGGCAUUCAUCACAACGUUUGAAAUAAACUAGCUGACUAUGCGGUCUUUCUUUUAUUGUCUUAAGACCACUGUACGUGUUAAAUAUUCAUAAAUUAGUUUAAAUUUGAAUAACAAAUUAUCUUAAUUUCG